rnacentral:tRNA from 1 species
GAGGGUAUAGCUCAAUGGUAGAGUGCAUGCCUAGCAUGCAUGGGGCCCUGGAUUCAAUCCCCAGUAUCUCCA